rnacentral:rRNA from 1 species
GGCCUAACACAUGCAAGUCGAACGGUAACAGGAAGAAGCUUGCUUCUUUGCUGACGAGUGGCGGACGGGUGAGUAAUGUCUGGGAAACUGCCUGAUGAGGGGGAUAACUACUGGAAACGGUAGCUAAUACCGCAUAACGUCGCAAGACCAAAAGAGGGGGGACCCUUCGGGCCUCUUGCCAUCGGAUGUGCCCAGAUGGGAUUAGCUAGUAGGUGGGGUAACGGCUCACCUAGGCGACGAUCCCUAGCUGGUCUGAGAGGAUGACCAGCCACACUGGAACUGAGACACGGUCCAGACUCCUACGGGAGGCAGCAGUGGGGAAUAUUGCACAAUGGGCGCAAGCCUGAUGCAGCCAUGCCGCGUGUAUGAAGAAGGCCUUCGGGUUGUAAAGUACUUUCAGCGGGGAGGAAGGGAGUAAAGUUAAUACCUUUGCUCAUUGACGUUACCCGCAGAAGAAGCACCGGCUAACUCCGUG